CCUACGGGAGGCAGCAGUAGGGAAUAUUGCUCAAUGGGCGUAACCCUGAAGCAGCAAAGCCGCGUGGAGGAUGACGGCUUUCGGAUUGUUAACUCCUUUUGUUAGAGAAGAUAAUGGCGGUAUCUAACGAAUAAACACCGGCUAACUCCGUGACAGCAGCCGCGGUCAUACGGAGGGUGCAAGCGGUACUCGGAAUCACUGGGCUUAAAGGGCGCGUAGGCGGGAUAGCAGGUCAGAUGUGAAAUCCUAUGGCUUAACCAUAGAACUGCAUUUGAAACUGUUAUUCUAGAGUAGGGGAGAGGUAGGUGGAAUUCUUGGUGUAGGGGUAAAAUCCGUAGAGAUCAAGAGGAAUACUCAUUGCGAAGGCGACCUGCUAGAACAUAACUGACGCUGAUGCGCGAAAGCGUGGGGAGCAAACAGGAUUAGAUACCCUGGUAGUC
rnacentral:rRNA from 1 species